UACGUAGGGUGCGAGCGUUGUCCGGAAUUACUGGGCGUAAAGAGCUCGUAGGUGGUUUUGUCGCGUUGUCCGUGAAAAACUCACAGCUCAACUGUGGGCGUGCGGGCGAUACGGGCAGACUGGAGUACUGCAGGGGAGACUGGAAUUCCUGGUGUAGCGGUGAAAUGCGCAGAUAUCAGGAGGAACACCGGUGGCGAAGGCGGGUCUCUGGGCCGAUAUUGACGCUGAGGAGCGAAAGCGUGGGGAGCGAACAGG
rnacentral:rRNA from 1 species